AGAGUUUGAUUUUGGCUCAGGAUGAACGCUGGCGGCGUGCCUAAUACAUGCAAGUCGAACGCAUCUUCUUCGGAAGAUGAGUGGCGAACGGGUGAGUAAUACAUAGAUAACCUGCCCCUGUGCGGGGGAUAACAGGAGGAAACUCCUGCUAAUACCGCAUAUCCAUGAGCACCGCAUGGAGCUCAUGCCAAAUAUCCUUUCGGGGAUAGCGCAGGGAUGGACCUAUGGCGCAUUAGCUAGUUGGCGGGGCAACGGCCCACCAAGGCAACGAUGCGUAGCCGGCCUGAGAGGGCGGACGGCCACAUUGGGACUGAGACACGGCCCAGACUCCUACGGGAGGCAGCAGUAGGGAAUUUUCGGCAAUGGGGGAAACCCUGACCGAGCAACGCCGCGUGAGCGAAGAAGGCCUUCGGGUCGUAAAGCUCUGUUGUAAAGGAAGAACGUCGCAUGCAGGAAAUGGUGUGCGAGUGACGGUACUUUACCAGAAAGCCACGGCUAACUACGUGCCAGCAGCCGCGGUAAUACGUAGGUGGCGAGCGUUAUCCGGAAUCAUUGGGCGUAAAGAGGGAGCAGGCGGCCGCAAGGGUCUGUGGUGAAAGACCGAAGCUAAACUUCGGUAAGCCAUGGAAACCGGGCGGCUAGAGUGCGGAAGAGGAUCGUGGAAUUCCAUGUGUAGCGGUGAAAUGCGUAGAUAUAUGGAGGAACACCAGUGGCGAAGGCGACGGUCUGGGCCGCAACUGACGCUCAUUCCCGAAAGCGUGGGGAGCAAAUAGGAUUAGAUACCCUAGUAGUCCACGCCGUAAA
rnacentral:rRNA from 1 species